GAUUUAUUCCGUACUACCGUCUUUUCAACGAUGUCGCGGGAUAUAUCUCGGUAGCUCCAGAUUCGUUGGAUUUUUUAUUGGUGAAAUCUUAUACGCUUUCUGUAACUUACGUACGAGUUGGCUGUGAAUUGAAAUGCGGUGAAGUGAAAUGAGUGGAUAUACAGACGAAGCUUGAGACAAUUGGAUAUGGACCGGGAAUGUCGUAAUCGCAGUGAUGACCGAAGAUCUUUGGUGAUGACGUGCCGUGUGGAUUCGACGGAGUCGAUGCGAUCUAAUUUGUCGAGUAUGAAGGCUUUUGAUUUCCAGGUCAGCGAGGAAUUACUUUCGACUCACCGGUAAGAGCUGAAUUGCGUCAUAAGAGGCAUGAGAUAAGAAACAGGUUGAAAAGGGUGCCAAUCUGCGGUGAGGAGGUCCACCCUGGGGUCGAAAACUCUUUGGAGGAAUCGUCCGUUCAGAGAACACCAUACGUCGAUGUAAAUGCUCAAGUUCGUCGACAGUCUUGCCCAGUGCUCGGUUUCGCUGGGUUGCCGACCCGACGCCCGUGCUUUUUGCCUCUGAAGCAUCAGGUUAUCCUAGAAAUGGGCAUAUUGUCUAACCAUGUCACCGUGUUUGGACCAUCGAUCUCCUUGGACCCACGCCUGCGGAUCUAGGUAAUGGUCCUCGUUCUGCACGUUGUCGUGGAUUUUUAUCACGACCAGAAUCGUGUCCCAGGAAUGAACCAUCAUAUCCCAGGAGUAUCCGUACAAACCCGGGACCCAGUUAUUGUAUCCCUGAAAAAUCAAUGGGCGAUUACGAGGUACGUGAAAUGAAUUUUUUCUUCUCAUUUUUUCCAUACCUUGGUGAUGAAAUGAGAGUAGGGUAAGAAUAGCUGCAUAAAAACGUGGAAGAGGAGCAGUGCGACAACGGUUUUUUGUUUCUUAGUAACGCUUGAUUCGUUGUAAGAUUUUUUCCUUGAUUUAACCAUGUAUUUCGAAUCGGAUGAUACCAUUUCCCUGACACUUUGCCUCAGAUCAAGUUUUCUUUCUAUAGAAGUUUGAUCUGAUCUGUCUUGAUCCUUGUUUCCCUCUGUUGUGCAAUUUUGUUCCCAGGUAUCGUGUUGACGAGGACACGCACCGGUCUCAUCGAAAUUACUUUCGCCAUCGUCAUCAGUCUUUCGAACAUUUUGUUCACAGGGGUCUUCGAAGUUUUUCAUUUCAACGAGCUUUUCGGAGCAUGACUCCUGAGGUUUUUCAUCAAUUCCAUUAGCAUAUUCAUUUUUAAGGUUCUCCUGGACCUCGUCAUCCGAUAACGAAGAUUCGAGUCGACUCGAGUAAAACCAGGCUUCGAUUCUCCUGGGCCAAUCGACGUGGCAAAAUAGAGGC
rnacentral:misc_RNA from 1 species